AUUGAACGCUGGCGGCAGGCCUAACACAUGCAAGUCGAGCGGAGCGGCGGACGGGUGAGUAUUGCCUAGGAAUCUGCCUGUUAGUGGGGGCUCACGACCGGAAACGGGCGCUAAUACCGCCUACUCUCGGAUGAGCCUAGGUCGUAUUAGCUAGUUGGUGGGGUAAAGGCCUACCAAGGCGACGAUCCGUAACUGGUCUGAGAGGAUGAUCAGUCACACUGGAACUGAGACACGGUCCAGACUCCUACGGGAGGCAGCAGUGGGGAAUAUUGAACAAUGGGCGAAAGCCUGAUGCAGCCAUGCCGCGUGUGGGAAGAAGGUCUUCGGGUUGUAAAGUACUUUAAGUUGGGAGGCGUUACCGACAGAAUAAGCACCGGCUAACUUCGUGCCAGCAGCCGCGGUAAUAC
rnacentral:rRNA from 1 species